rnacentral:misc_RNA from 1 species
GAAUGAAGAACGCAGCGAAAUGCGAUAAGUAAUGUGAAUUGCAGAAUUCAGUGAAUCAUCGAAUCUUUGAACGCACAUUGCGCCCGCCAGUAUUCUGGCGGGCAUGCCUGUUCGAGCGUCAUUUCAACCAUCAAGCCCCAGGCUUGUGUUGGGGACCUGCGGCUGCCGCAGGCCCUGAAAACCAGUGGCGGGCUCGCUGUCACACCGGGCGUAGUAGAUUUUAUCUCGCUCAGGGCGUGCUGCGGGUUCCGGCCGUUAAAAAGCCUUUUUUACCCAAGGUUGACCUCGGAUCAGGUAGGAAGACCCGCUGACCUUAAGCAUAUCAAUAAGCGGAGGA